CCGGACCCUCGGGCGGGACAUACAGAGGCGAACGGGUGAGUAACACGUGACCAACCUGCCCCGCGCUCCGGGACAACCGCUGGAAACGGCGGCUAAUACCGGAUACUCCGCGGCCCCCGCAUGGGGCGGCGGGAAAGCCCGACGGCGCGGGAUGGGGUCGCGGCCCAUUAGGUAGUAGGCGGGGUAGAGGCCCACCUAGCCGACGAUGGGUAGCCGGACUGAGAGGUCGAUCGGCCACAUUGGGACUGAGAUACGGCCCAGACUCCUACGGGAGGCAGCAG
rnacentral:rRNA from 1 species